GUACUACUCCCUCCGUCCGGAAAUACUUGUCGAAGAAAUGCAUAAAAAUGAAUGUAUCUAGAACUAAAAUACAUCUAGAUACAUCCAUUCCUCCGACAAGUAUUUCCGGACGGAGGGAGUACUUU
rnacentral:pre_miRNA from 1 species